rnacentral:rRNA from 1 species
UACGUAGGGUGCAAGCGUUGUCCGGAAUUAUUGGGCGUAAAGAGCUCGUAGGCGGUCUGUCGCGUCGGCUGUGAAAACUCGGGGCUCAACCCCGAGCCUGCAGUCGAUACGGGCAGACUAGAGUGCUGUAGGGGAGACUGGAAUUCCUGGUGUAGCGGUGAAAUGCGCAGAUAUCAGGAGGAACACCUAUAGCGAAGGCAGCUUGCUGGGACGUUACUGACGCUAAGGCGCGAAAGCGUGGGGAGCGAAACAGG